CUGGCUCAGGAUGAACGCUAGCGACAGGCUUAACACAUGCAAGUCGAGGGGCAGCAUAGAAGUAGCAAUACUCGGUGGCGACCGGCGCACGGGUGAGUAACGCGUAUGCAACCUACCUAUCAGAGGGGAAUAACCCGGCGAAAGUCGGACUAAUACCGCAUAAAACAGGGGCACCGCAUGGUGAUAUUUGUUAAAGAAAUUCGCUGAUAGAUGGGCAUGCGUUCCAUUAGGUAGUUGGUGAGGUAACGGCUCACCAAGCCGACGAUGGAUAGGGGAACUGAGAGGUUGGUCCCCCACACUGGUACUGAGACACGGACCAGACUCCUACGGGAGGCAGCAGUGAGGAAUAUUGGUCAAUGGGCGGGAGCCUGAACCAGCCAAGUCGCGUGAAGGAAGAAGGAUCUAUGGUUCGUAAACUUCUUUUGCAGGGGAAUAAAGUGCAGGACGUGUCCUGUUUUGUAUGUACCCUGAGAAUAAGGAUCGGCUAACUCCGUGCCAGCCGCCGC
rnacentral:rRNA from 1 species